rnacentral:rRNA from 1 species
GCUUACGGCCACACGCCUGGGGUUCACGCCCGAUCUCGUUUGAUCUCGGAAGCUAAGAUAGGUUGGGCCUGGUUAGUACGUGGAUGGGAGACCGCCUAGGAAUACCAGGUGCUGUAAGGC